CGCCCCUGCCCCGGGGCUGCGCUCUGGGCUCCCCGGCCCGUUAGGUACCGCAGGCGGCCUGGGGGCGAGGCGGUGGCCUGGUGCCGGGAGCCGGACCCCCAGCUGCUGGCGGUGCGCUCCGUGGCGGGGGCGUUGCGCUCGCAGCCCUUCUGGCAGGCGGGGGUUGGUUUUGUCCCCGUGCGCGCGGACCUCGCGGUGACGGUGGCAUGGCACUUCGGCUCCUACCCCUGCCAUGCGGUCCUUGCCUGCCCUCACGGGUUUUUGUGUGCACACGCCUUCCUCCCUGCGUCCUCCCACCCCUUUUUGUGAUGUAUGAAGUAGCAUUCUCUGCUUUGCAGGCAAAACACGGUGCUGCUUUGUUUUAUUCACGUAUCUGCUUCCUGCUGUCACCGCUUCCCUCCUUCCCAGCCCUGCUUGGUCCUCAGCCCUUUCUCUCCUGCAUACCUGGGCAGCGCACCUCUCGCCUCUGCCUCUGGGCACUGUCGGUUUACUGACUGACAGAAGUAUGUGCAGGUUCUGCUCCUGGGCUCUGGGCAAUGCCCAGCUGUUCACAAAGCAGCGCUUCAAUGCUCGUGGCUUCUCGUUGGGUUUUGCUUGGGCCGGAUCUACAGCGAGGGCAGCACCAAGCCCAAAGGUGCAACCCAGAGCUGUUGUUGUUACCCUUCUGCUGGGGACAAGGAAGGGAGGUGCAGUGGCAAUGGUUAAAUAGUUUUUGUCGUUGGUGCAGCUGUUAGCCAAUGGGGAGCAAGUGUUCUCAGGAAGCAUUGAAUGGGAUAUAUCUAUAGUCCGUAUCUAUAGUCCAAAAUAUUUUUUCUUCGCUUUUUCCCUGGUUUCCUUUCCUUUACGGGAAGGCUGGUCGUGGUUUGUUUUGUUGGUGGGGUGUGUGUGUUUGAUGAGGUGCCUAUUUUCAAAGUGUUUAGUAAGCUGUACUGAUAACUUCAGAAGCAUGAUUUGAGGUUGUGUAUGCACGCUUUCAAUUUAUGUGUAAAAGCACACAUUUUGCUCGCUGGAUUGAUUUUUGUUCUGUCUUAGAGGCACGUUGCAAAAAAGCUGUAUGUUGCAAAGGCUUUCUUCCUCUCUUUCUUGCCACAAACCCAGCAACUUAGCAGAAGCAAGGAAGUAGCUGCUGUUUUUUCACCUGUAACUGUUCUGUGUAUUGUUUUUUUUGUUUUUUUGUUUAUUUUUCUCCUCCUUGCCAGGGUUCUGCAGUGCUCCAGGAAGCAAGUUUUGAAGCAGGAUGGGAAAAAGACGCUGUGUUCCUCCACUUGAGCCCAAGCUGGCAGCUGGCUGUUGUGGGGUAAAGAAGCCCAAAUUGUCUGGGAGCGGAACGCACAGUCAUGGGAAUCAGGCCACGACGGUACCGGGCUCCAGUUCAGGUCCUCUUCAGAACCACCAGCAUACAGACGCGAACAAUGGAAGGGAGAACGUAUCUGACUUGACUUUGGGCCCGGGAAAUUCCCCAAUUACUCGAAUGAAUCCCACUUCAGGAGCUCUGAGCCCACUUACUCGGCCCAAUGGAACUGCCAACAGCACCAAGAACCUGGUGGUGACAGCGGAGAUGUGCUGCUACUGCUUUGAUGUACUCUACUGUCAUCUCUACGGUUUCCCUCAGCCACGACUUCCUCGAUUUACCAAUGACCCCUAUCCACUCUUUGUGACGUGGAAGACGGGGCGAGACAAGCGGCUUCGUGGCUGCAUCGGGACCUUUUCAGCCAUGAAUCUUCACUCAGGACUCAGGGAAUACACAUUAACCAGUGCACUUAAGGACAGCCGAUUUCCACCCCUGACCCGCGAGGAGCUGCCCAAACUCUUCUGCUCUGUCUCCCUCCUCACUAACUUUGAGGAUGCCAGUGACUACCUGGACUGGGAGGUUGGGAUCCAUGGGAUCAGAAUAGAGUUCAUCAAUGAGAAAGGUGUCAAACGCACAGCCACAUAUUUACCUGAGGUUGCUAAGGAACAAGAGUGGAGUGGUCGCAUCCUCCUGGCUCUGGGGCAAAAGACUAAGGUAGGAAUUUUAACUCUGAUCUCUCACAUAGCAGUGCACUGUGCUAUCACUAGAGCAUCAGGCUGAUCCCAAUUUGUCUAUGUAAAGCUAAGUAUUACCUUAUUUUGAGACUUAAAGAGCUAAAACUGAGUGGCACGUGAUAAAACGGUUUGGGGUCCUUGCAACAAAAGCAAUGCAUGGACCUUUGUAAGAAGAGAGGUCAAACGGAAAAUGGAAUUUCUGUUUUAUAGACCACUGCAGUUUCAGUAUGAGCUAAAAGGGGUUAGCAUGUGCAGGCAGUGUGCAUGCAAAAGGCCAUGUAUGUCCAGUUCAGCACUGGUAUCUCUAAAGCUCAGUUUCCUGUAUAGUUUGCUUCUCUAAAGGCCUUUUAAUGCAUCUCCUCUCUUCUUGAAACAUCGUUUUUAUGCUGAAAAUCAUCCCUUGCUUUUAUUUUUCAAUAGACUGGGAUCAGAUCCAGACCAUAGACUCCUUACUCAGGAAAGGUGGCUUUAAGGCUCCCAUUACCAAUGAUUUUAGGAAAACGAUUAAACUCACCAGGUACCGCAGUGAGAAGGUGACAAUCAGUUACGCGGAAUACAUGGCCUCCCGUCAGCAUUGUUUCCAGAACGGCACUCUUCAUGCCCCCCCCCUCUACAAUCAUUACUCCUGACACACGGCUGCAUGACCAGUCCCACCCCCCAGUUGCUGCCAACGGCUACGACAUCAUUGGGGCGGAUGCCUCCUCUUCCUGGUCCAGUUACUUCUAUUACUGCACCAUUUUAUGAUGCUAGCUUCCGUUGCCAAGUCUGCCUUCCAGCUGACCUGGGGGGAAGAUGAGAGCAUGACAGAACUGGGGCCCAAGCCUUAUCUCAGCCUUCCCUCCGCGCGGGGGUUCAGUUGGAUUGGGGCUCCAUGCCUAUGAACUGUUGCGAGGUGCAGAAGACCUCUCGGAGUGAAAGUGCCACUUGAGACUGGUCUGUUCUUGUGCGUGACCAACACUCCAGAACCUCGAGCUGUUGGUUAUGGAACCCCCCAGAUCAAGUAGGAGCAUUCCCCUGGCAGCCUGGGCAACGGAGUCCAACAAAACAUUUUUUAGGUUCUUUUUAAUUUUUUUUAACCUCUGGUAUCUGUUGUGUACCAAGAGCUGAUUGCAGUCCCCGCACAUCAUAUGGGGAGGGUUGAACAUCUGGAUAGCACCCCAUCCUCACGGACAGAAAACAGUUAAAGAUGUGAAAAACCUCUGGAUGGUAUUGCAGAUGAAUCCAAUAUUUAAAUAAACCCUAGAAGGCUCUAAUUCUCAGAUUCCACCGUAGGUUGGACUCUCUAGUACUCCUUUUGGUUUACCAUUUGCUGGGUUUUUAGACAGUGCUUUGUAAUGUAGCCUGCUAUGAAAUAGAAUGCUGUUAGGCCUCUAAGAGAGCAAAAUGUGGUGCUGCGUAUGCGAAGGACAAGGUACUGGAGUGUACCCUGGACAGUCUUCUCUGUUAUUACCAAGUUUUGUGUCGAAACGUUUGUAACAGAGCCUGAUUGGAUUAGGGAUGGGGAGGGGGUUGCAGAGAAUUGACUGUAGUCAUACAAGGGAGACAAGUGACUGAAAUUUGUUUAAUUUAAGAAAACAGUCUCGGGGACCUUCCUUUUGAUAGGACAGCCACUUUCUCUAGUGUGACUUUUGAUUGUGAGAAUUGUCAGUGUUCUAGUUUAUAGCAGGCCUUGGGAAUAAAACUGCGUAGUUUUGUUGGUAAGCUAUCUUAUACAGCUUUUCCAUUACCACAUCAAGGCAAUGAGUGAGGAGAACGUAUAGUACCCGAACUGUACGGAACUCAUGUGCACUCUGUACUUCUUCUCCUAUCAUUGAGGACUGCAAGAAGUACUCUAGGAGGAAGGUAUGUUAUCCAGUUAUUUCUGCAGCCUCAUUGAGGGACGCCCUCUCAGUGAGGUCACUGGACUACAAAAUGUAAUUUUUUCCAAAUUCCUGGAGGGUCAGCAAUGAUGAGGAAAGAAAAUACAAGUGUAUAGCAGAGUAGUGGCUAUUUGGCUGCAUAUAGCUUUAAAGUUUGCUUAUAUGUGGUAAUGAUGACUUUUUAAAUUGGCUGGU